UUGGAGGGCAAGUCUGGUGCCAGCAGCCGCGGUAAUUCCAGCUCCAAUAGCGUAUAUUAAAGUUGUUGUGGUUAAAAAGCUCGUAGUUGAACCUUGGGCCUGGCUGGCCGGUCCGCCUCACCGCGUGCACUGGUCCGGCCGGGCCUUUCCCUCUGCGGAACCCCAUGCCCUUCACUGGGUGUGGCGGGGAAACAGGACUUUUACUUUGAAAAAAUUAGAGUGCUCAAGGCAGGUCUAUGCUCGAAUACAUUAGCAUGGAAUAAUAGAAUAGGA
rnacentral:rRNA from 1 species